UACGUAGGUGGCAAGCGUUGUCCGGAAUUACUGGGUGUAAAGGGAGCGCAGGCGGGAGAGCAAGUCAGUGGUGAAAUGCAUGGGCUUAACCCAUGAACUGCCAUUGAAACUGUUUUUCUUGAGUGGAUCAGAGGCAAGCGGAAUUCCGAGUGUAGCGGUGAAAUGCGUAGAUAUUCGGAGGAACACCAGUGGCGAAGGCGGCUUGCUGGGGUCUAACUGACGCUGAGGCUCGAAAGUGUGGGGAG
rnacentral:rRNA from 1 species